AUUCAUUUAGUAUGUUCAGUGUUGUUUUAAGGAAUAGAGAAUAUGAACCAUUAUCGCUAUUUAGUGUAUUUUCCCCUAGCUAUAAACUGAUUAUAAAUGGUCUGUCAAGCUUUUGGAUAUGUCUCGGUCUUAUCUCAAUUGGAAAACAAUGGAUAUUUCAUUAUUGUUUGUAAAAUUAACGUCACAACCGGGCAAUCAACCAUAUUAUGAAUCCC
rnacentral:lncRNA from 1 species